rnacentral:rRNA from 1 species
AACGAACGCUGGCGGCAGGCCUAAUACAUGCAAGUCGAACGGCAGCACAGCAGAGCUUGCUCUGUGGGUGGCGAGUGGCGGACGGGUGAGGAAUACAUGGGAAUCUGCCCAGUCGUGGGGGAUAACGUAUGGAAACGUACGCUAAUACCGCAUGCGCCCUACGGGGGAAAGUCGGGGACCGCAAGGCCUGGCGCGAUUGGAUGAGCCCAUGUUCGAUUAGCUAGUUGGCGGGGUAAAGGCCCACCAAGGCGACGAUCGAUAGCUGGUCUGAGAGGAUGAUCAGCCACACUGGAACUGAGACACGGUCCAGACUCCUACGGGAGGCAGCAGUAGGGAAUAUUGGACAAUGGGCGCAAGCCUGAUCCAGCCAUGCCGCGUGAGUGAAGAAGGCCCUCGGGUUGUAAAGCUCUUUUGUCCGGAAAGAAAGCACUGGGUUAAUACCCCGGUGUCCUGACGGUACCGGAAGAAUAAGCACCGGCUAACUUCGUGCC